CAGCGUGGAAAGUGAAAGGGGGCUUCAAUCUGAUUCACAGGAGUGUUUGCUGGCAAAGUGUUUACCUUUGGGCCAAGAGUGCAUCAAAUUCGUUGAAGAUGAGGAGGAAAGGAGAGUGGCAGAUGGACUGUGCGAGGUGAAGUUCCAGAUGUGUUGUGCCACCUGUCUGGGCAGUAGGGGGCGCACAUGGGCUGCGUAAAGAAGGACAUCCCCAAUCGACCAUCCAACGCACCCAA